rnacentral:rRNA from 1 species
UGGGGAAUAUUGGACAAUGGGCGCAAGCCUGAUCCAGCCAUGCCGCGUGUGUGAAGAAGGUCUUCGGAUUGUAAAGCACUUUAAGUUGGGAGGAAGGGCAGUUACCUAAUACGUGAUUGUUUUGACGUUACCGACAGAAUAAGCACCGGCUAACUCUGUGCCAGCAGCCGCGGUAAUACAGAGGGUGCAAGCGUUAAUCGGAAUUACUGGGCGUAAAGCGCGCGUAGGUGGUUAGUUAAGUUGGAUGUGAAAUCCCCGGGCUCAACCUGGGAACUGCAUUCAAAACUGACUGACUAGAGUAUGGUAGAGGGUGGUGGAAUUUCCUGUGUAGCGGUGAAAUGCGUAGAUAUAGGAAGGAACACCAGUGGCGAAGGCGACCACCUGGACUGAUACUGACACUGAGGUGCGAAAGCGUGGGGAGCAAACAGGAUUAGAUACCCAAGUAGUCCCUGAGCGGGCUGGCAAGGCGCAU